GUUUCCGUAGUGUAGUGGUCAUCACGUUCGCCUCACACGCGAAAGGUCCCCAGUUCGAAACUGGGCGGAAACA
rnacentral:tRNA from 1 species